UACGAAGGGGGCUAGCGUUGCUCGGAAUCACUGGGCGUAAAGCGCACGUAGGCGGCUUGUUAAGUCAGGGGUGAAAUCCUGGAGCUCAACUCCAGAACUGCCUUUGAUACUGGCGAGCUUGAGUACGGGAGAGGUGAGUGGAACUGCGAGUGUAGAGGUGAAAUUCGUAGAUAUUCGCAAGAACACCAGUGGCGAAGGCGGCUCACUGGCCCGGUACUGACGCUGAGGUGCGAAAGCGUGGGGAGCAAACAGG
rnacentral:rRNA from 1 species